UACGUAGGGUCCGAGCGUUGUCCGGAAUUAUUGGGCGUAAAGGGCGCGUAGGCGGCCUGUUAAGUCGAACGUGAAAUCCCCGGGCUCAACCCGGGAACUGCGUCCGAUACUGGCAGGCUUGAAUCCGGGAGAGGGAUGCGGAAUUCCAGGUGUAGCGGUGAAAUGCGUAGAUAUCUGGAGGAACACCGGUGGCGAAGGCGGCAUCCUGGACCGGC
rnacentral:rRNA from 1 species